GCCGGGCAUGGUAGCGCGUGCCUGUAAUCCUAGCUACUCAGGAGGCUGAGGCAGGAGAAUUGCUUGAACCCAGGAGGUGGAGGUAGUGGUGAGCAAAGAUUGUACCGCUGCACUCCAGCCUGAGUGAUAGAGCAAGACCCUAUCUCAA
rnacentral:SRP_RNA from 1 species